UCCCACUGAUAUCUGCAUUAUUUCAUAAUAUCCAAAAAGGAGACUUUCAGUGGAAAGAGUGGUGAAUGGCAGAGAUGAAUUGUUGAAGAACUCAAUAGAAAAAUGUCAUAAUUCAUGGACCCUGAAAACUAUGUAAAAAGAUCAAAUUUAAACCUGUGAUUUGGAGCUUACUCAUCAGAAGAGAAAUAUCAUGAGCUAUUUGCUCUCUCUGCUUUAACACAGCUCUGGCAAGCCUGGAAGUUGUGUUGAGAUCGUCAAAUCUAUAGUCAAGGACCAUCUUUGUGAAUCAUGAAACCAUAUGGCACUGGUUGUCUGAAUUGGAAAAAAAACAAAA